CGCGGCAGCCCCGGCAGCCCCGGCACGGUGGGCCGAAAGCCGGCGGCGAAGGAGCGCUCGCCGGGUUGCCGCCAGCGUCGUCCCCCGGCGCCGGGCCGGGCUCGGCUGCGAGCCCCCUCCCCGUCUCCCCGGCUCGGGUGGGGGCUUUUCCCGCUUCCCUUCUUUCUUUCCGUCCCUAUGGAGCAGUCGCCCUCGCCGGCCGACCAUGCCUAGGAAAGCGGGGAAUGGGCAGCUCCCCUUACCCGAUGGCUGGGAGGAGGCGAGGGAUUACGACGGCAAAGUCUUUUACAUCGACCACAACACCAAGCAGACCAGCUGGAUCGACCCCAGGGACAGGUUAACAAAACCCUUGUCGUUUGCGGACUGUGUUGGGGAUGAACUACCAUGGGGAUGGGAAGCUGCAUAUGAUCCCCAGAUUGGUGUGUACUACAUCGAUCACAUCAACCAAACAACACAAAUAGAAGAUCCCAGGAAACAAUGGAGGCAAGAACAAGAGAGAAUGCUGAAAGAUUAUCUUAUGGUAGCCCAGGAUGCUCUCAGUACUCAGAAGGAACUGUACCAGGUGAAAGAACAGAGGCUAGCACUUGCACUGGAUGAGUAUGUACGGUUGAAUGAUGCCUACAAAGAAAAAUCAAGCUCUCGUACAAGCUUAUUCUCAGGCUCUUCAUCAAGCACAAAGUAUGACCCUGAUAUUUUGAAGGCUGAAAUCUCCACUACAAGAUUAAGGGUUAAGAAGCUGAAGAGGGAGCUCUCUCAGAUGAAGCAGGAGCUGCUGUACAAGGAGCAGGGCUUUGAAACGCUGCAACAAAUUGACCAAAAAAUGUCUGGAGGCCAGAGCGGGUAUGAACUAUGUGAGGCUAAAGCCAUCCUGAGUGAACUGAAAUCCAUCAGAAAGGCGAUAAGUUCAGGAGAGAGAGAAAAACAAGAUUUAAUGAAGAGUCUUGCAAAACUGAAAGAGAAAUUCAAUCUUGACCAGAAUAUUGGGACAUCGGAACCAGACCUGAGUUCCAGCUCUGUAAAUUCCCAGCUGUGUUUUUCUAGACAAACUCUGGAUGCAGGGUCUCAGACUGACAUUUCUGGUGAGGUUGGAACAAGAAGUAGAUCCAAUUUAGCAGAGAAGGUCAGACUAAGUCUUCAAUAUGAAGAGGCAAAGAGAAGCAUGGCUAACUUGAAGAUCGAACUGUCUAAGUUAGAUAGUGAGGCCUGGCCUGGGGCGCUGGAUGUGGAAAAGGAAAAAUUGAUGUUAAUCAAUGAAAAAGAAGAGCUUUUAAAAGAACUCCAGUUUAUCACACCACGCAAACGUACUCAAGAUGAGCUAGAGCAGCUGGAAGCAGAAAGAAGGAGGCUUGAAGAAGAGCUGCACUCUGUAAAAAGCGAACCCAGUCAAGCACUUGCUGAAAGAUUGAGAUUGGAGGAAAGAAGAAAAGAAUUGGUACAGAAACUCGAAGAAACUACAAAAUUGACAACUUAUUUGCAUUCACAACUUAGGAGCCUCUCAGCUAGUACGCUGUCUGUGUCAUCAGGGAGCAGUCUGGGAUCUCUGGCAUCCAGCCGGGGAUCUCUGAACACAUCAAGCAGAGGGUCGCUCAACUCGCUCAGUUCCACGGAUCUCUAUUAUAACCAAGGCGAUCAAAUAACAGAUUUGGACUAUCAGUAUAAGCUUGACUUCCUAUUGCAAGAAAAAAGUGGUUACAUUCCUUCAGGGCCUAUCACUACUAUUCAUGAAAAUGAAGUGGUCAGUUCCCAUGGCAGACUAGGUUACAGUGACUCUCCUUCAGCCACAGACCAGCCCAAGCUGACUGAGCCUCCCAAAUCUGUGACAUCGCUGUCUUCCAGGUCUUCACUGUCCUCCUUGUCUCCUCCAGGCUCCCCUUUGGUUUUAGAAGCUGCAUUUUCUGUCUCUGCUCAAAAUUCCCCUCUGCAUCACCUCACUACAGACUUUGAAGACUGUGAUUUUGCAGGCAUCAGUCUCUGUGAGAACCAAAUAUUAUUGGACUCUGAAGCCAGAGCAGGAUCUCAGAUUCCUACAGACGAUAAGGGUCUUCAUGAAAGCAUUAGACAGCCUUUGUCUUCUCUGCAUGAAGGAAGUUCAGGUGUUGACUUGCCAAGAAGAGCAGCUAGUCAUCUCCUUGCAGAGAAGACAGCUUGUGUAUCUGCUGCUGUGUCUGAUGAGUCUGUAGCUGGAGAUAGUGGUGUAUACGAAGCUUCUGUGAAACAUCUAAAUGAAACCGAGGACAUUGUAUACAGUGAAGAUGAUGCAACAGCACUAGAGUCUGCCCAAGUUCAAAUAGGACUCAGAUAUGACCACAGCAAUUCAAGUUUUGUGAUAAUCAUAGUCCAGCUCAGAAAUCUGCCAGUGUUUUCUGUUCCCCUUGGCUCUAAAGUGUAUAUUAGAGUAGCAGUACUUCCAUCCUCAGCUGAUACCAGCUGUCUGUUCCGCACAAAAGUUCAUCCUGCCAUGGAAACCAUUUUACUCAACGAGAUAUUCAGAGUUGCCAUUUCCCAAGGAACACUGCUACAGAAGACACUGAGAGUAGAUGUUUGUGCGGUCAGUCGAAGCCGUCGGGAAGAAUGCUUGGCUGGAACUCAGAUCAGUCUGGCAGAUUUAUCAUUUUCUGAUGAGACUUGUGCGCUGUGGUAUAACCUUCUGUCUUGCAAGCAAAUCCCUGGCAAAAAAAAAAAGGAUCAGAAUGAGGAACCCAUGUUUCUUUUAAGCAAGCAGUCAUCAGACUCAUUGGACUUGGAUGCUGUGUCAGCUCUGCUGGAGAGAACAUCCGCUGAGCUGGAAGCAGUAGAACAAGAGCUGGCUGAAGAUGAGGAGGAAGAGGAUGAACAGGAGGAAAGGGGCUCUGAGGAAGACUGGUUAGAAAUGCUUGCAGAAGCAUCUGAUGAAAUUGGGGAUGAAGAGGAAGAUGGCAUUAAGCUGGCAGUAGAAGGCAACUGUACCGAUGACACGGGGUUAUUCAUUGAUGCAGGAGAAACUGAGGAAGAUGAGAACAGACAGAACAGAGAUGAGGCCCAUGAAAGCCAGCAAGCUGCCGUCAUACUAACACUGGUUGAUAAAGAGACUAACACUGAGGAAUCAGUUAACGAGGAUGCAACAGUCCGACCCAAGGACAGAGCCAGCUGGAGCUCAAGACAGCGUCCCUUUGUCAGGAACAGCAUGAUUGUGCGCUCACAAACCUUCUCGCCAGGCGAGCGGAACCAAUACAUCUGUAGGUUGAGUCGAAGUGACAGUGACAGCUCAACGCUAGCCAAAAAGUCUCUCUUUGUGAGGAAUGCCACAGAAAGGAGGAGCCUAAGAGUCAAACGGCCUGUUUGCCAGCCAAUCAUGCGAAGAGCUACGCAAGAAUGCCCUGUGCGCACUUCCCUCGACUUGGAGCUGGACCUCCAGGCAUCACGCACACGACAGAAUCGACUGAAUGAUGAGCUUCAGGCCUUGCGGGAUCUUAAGCAGAAGCUUGAAGAAAUGAAAGGUAGAGGAGAGACAGACCUUCCCCUGUGUGUACUGGAGGAUGAACGAUUCCAGAAACUCCUGAAACAGGCUGAGAAACAGUUAUUUUACAGGCUGAGCAGUCAAAAGAAGAGCAGAAGCGAGGCUUAAGUGCUGAGAAACUGAUGAGGAAAGCUUCGAAGGAUGUAUGCCGGCUACGGGAGCAGAGUCAGAAAGUGCCACUACAGGUGCAAUCAUUCAGGGAGAAGAUAGCAUAUUUCACAAGAGCAAAGAUCAGUAUACCAGCCCUUCCAGCUGAUGAUGUAUAAUCGUGCAUAUUCAUUCAAAUGUUUUUCCCAUUGCCCAUUUUUUUUUUUUCAGAUGAACUUUGUAUUUCUAGUGACCUGCUUUUACAGCUCUUCUAUUUUACAUUCAAUAUUGAUACGUUUAUUUGUAAAAUACAGCACAUAGAAUUGUUGUACGUCUAAAAAAAUGACAAAAAAAAAAAAAAAGGAAAACCAAAGUAGAUCAAUUUUGGUAUACUGAUGCUGAUUUUGUACAGUUUGUAUGUAUUGCAUGUGUUUUUAUUUUGUAAAGAUGGAACAAAGGAACAAAGGCAGUACUGAGCGUGUAUCCUGUUGAACCGCACUGUAUUGAGAAAUAUUACGUUCAACAGAAGAUUGUUUAUCUUUUCACUAUUUUCAUGUGAGCAGACUGUGAAGAUGGCUGUUUUGCCAUGCAAUAUUUUUGUAUAAGAGUGUGACUUUUGUAGUUUGAAGUUAACUACAAGUGUAAGUUUCUUUCCAAAACAUCAAGGCUGCCUCACAACAGCUGCUAAUUAGAUUCAUCACCCAUAUUGGAGUUUUUGUUUCUGAAAAAAAAUUUCUUCUGUUCUUGUUCUGUAAUACUGUGUAGGGAGAGACAAAACUCAAUUCUGUGAAUGUACAGUACUUUAACCUGCACUAAAAGGUUUCUUGCAUCUGUGGGAGAGUGGGGAAAGACAAGGCAGACAAGCAACCCUAAAAACUUCCUGUGAGACUAGUGAAAGGGCAGCUGCUUUCUGAACUGGACGCUGAAUCAAAUUGGUAAUACCAACAGUGAAAUCAGAAUAGUUAUAUCUACUGUACACUUAGGAUGAGUUUCUCUGUAUCAGUCUUCUGUCCUAGAGGCUGCCUUAUUGCCAGCUAAGAGAAUAUGAAAGUGUUCAUUAGGUUUACAGUUAUGAAGAGGAUUUUAUGAAAGUAUUUGUACCAGGGGAAAAGUUUGUCCCCAGUAACUUGGAUAUCAGAAGCUUGUUGAAGUAAACUCUGUCUGGAAAAGUAAAGAUCCUGACUAGAAGGCACCAUGUAUCUCAAUACAAUCACGUUAUCCACGUAUGCAUGGCCUUAAUGUCUCAAAAGAGUUAUAAUUGGUGAGAAAAUGGAAGUGAAUAUAACUAACGUUAUGGUAGCAGCUGUCUGAAAUUCACAGUGACAAUUCUGUGAUGAGAGAUCUGUGUAAGAUCUGUGUAAGCCUUCCCCAAGGGCUUUCUUAUGCACAAAUACAUCAGUUCACUUAAACAUAUAGCCAGAUGUGCUGUUUGGGGCAAGAUGCUGGUUAAACAUCAUUUAAGAAUGCCUCACUUGUUUUUUCUUGGUUGGGUUUGAGAUAUUUUGAGAUAUAUUUGAAAGGUCAAUUAAAAAAAAAAAUCUGGAAUUAUUUAAUGUAGAGGUGAAAUGAAGGUAACAGUUUCAACUUCUCAAUUUGAUUAUAUGUUUGUAGAAUGAUGUUUAGAGAUGUACUCUGUGAUUUUUCUUUUAUUUAUUUACAGUCUUAUUUAUGUUGUGUUUAAUAUAGUUCAGUUCUGGCCAUAAAAAUAUUUCACAUGUGAUGCUAUUGUGAAAAGUAUUUAGAGCUGUCUGAAUUCUUGCCAGAUAAGCUGUUUUUCCUCACGUGUUGAAUAAUUUUCAAAAAAGUAUUAUCAUAUAUUUGUAAGCAUGGAGUAAGGUCAAAAUUUAAGGAUUGUUGGCCUUAGCUCACAAAACUCAUUGCAAAAUGUGUCUUGUUUUCCAAAUUGGUAAAGUUAAAUAUAUUUUUAGGCAGCUUUUAACAAUUCUGCUUUUUUUUUUUUAAAUAAAUUUAAAUUAUUCGACCUCAAAACACUGAAUAGAAUAAGCUAACACAUACAAAUAAUCCUGUCAGUUUACAAUUAUAGAUAUUACUCAAAGUAGAAUUUACUCUGCACAGCAGAGUGUAACAAAUGCAAUUAGUUCUGUUUCCAGGUACCACUAUCACUGCGGUUGCAGAUAUCAAAAUUAAACAUUACUGGUACAAGAAUAUUUAACCAAAUGAGCAAAGGUUAGAAAAAAAUUGUAAUAGAAGGCAAAUCAAAUAAGAUUUUUUUAAAAAAUAUUGCUAUGUUUGUGCUGUAUUAAAUAUCAAAUGCUCAGGACUGAACUAAAUAUUUAAUCAGGUUAUAUGCUGAAUGUGGUUCUGUUCUAAUUUUGUCUGUAAAAGUAUGCAAAUACAUCACGUAGAUUAACUUGUCUCUGCACUUUCCAUGUGUUUCAAUGAUUGGAAAAUACAUUUUUUUUUUAACAAA